GUCGUUAUUGCUCGUUCGGCAUAUUUAUUUGUUUGUUUGUACACAGGCACAUACGGAUGUAUAUAUGUUUAUAUGUAUAUUUGUACAUCUGUAUAUCUCUCCGUUUGUGUGUAAGUAUGUCAGGCGUAGAAAUAUGAAAGAAUGACGUGAGACUCCUCUGCGCGAAGAAUACCCAAUAUUUAUUUCAGCACCGAAGCAUAAGUACGAGCAGAUAGUUGGAUGUAUCUAACCAAACUCGACUGCAUUCGCGCAUACACCAACAAAUUAACGUACAUACGUGCGCUCGCGACCCAAUGAAUGAGUGUAUUUGUGAGUGCGGGUGUGUUUUUGUAUAUGAAUUUCUUGUUAAUAAAAAGAACCGAAAAAAUAAAGCCCAAAAAAGUCUCAAAGUCACCACACUGCGACGGCAUGCGCCGAAGCUCCAGUACACAACCGCAACAACAACAACUCGGCUAUGUGCCACCACGGUUGUGGUGCUUGCCACUGCCACUGCGACUGCUGCUUCCACAAGCACACACAAACACACACAUACGCGGCCGCUCGCGUUCAAUACUCGCCGAUGUACAAUAUUUCCUGGGUGCGUACAAAUCGUAGUUUUCAGCGCCUCCAAUUACCACCAACAGGCUGCAAACAAUGGGGCCAUCACAGGAAGCUGCUGAGAAAACCCGAUGGCAGCAAAUUGCAGAAUAGAGGGAAUGACGCUGGCUUUCUUUCCAGCACCAACGAGCGAGAAUGAAAAAUAAGUGCCUACAAUUACACCCUGUAGGAAAUGCGAUUACAUUAUAAAGAUAUUGAACGGAAACGAAGCUUAUGAAUUUAAAUUAAUACAAAACAAAACAAAAUAUUUUAACAACUAUAAAAACAAAUGAAGAAAAUAAAAAUUAGCAAAAAUGAAAAAAUA